CAGCCGCCGCGGUAAUACGUAGGGUGCGAGCGUUAAUCGGAAUUACUGGGCGUAAAGCGUGCGCAGGCGGUUCGUUAAGACAGAUGUGAAAUCCCCGGGCUUAACCUGGGGGCUGCGUUUGUGACUGUAUAGCUAGAGUACGGUAGAGGGGGAUGGAAUUCCGCGUGUAGCAGUGAAAUGCGUAGAUAUGCGGAGGAACACCGAUGGCGAAGGCAAUCCCCUGGACCUGUACUGACGCUCAUGCACGAAAGCGUGGGGAGCAAACAGGAUUAGAGACCCCUGUAGUCCCUGUCUCUUAUAC
rnacentral:rRNA from 1 species